rnacentral:rRNA from 1 species
UAGCUACCACAUCCAAGGAAGGCAGCAGGCGCGCAAAUUACCCACUCCCGAAACGGGGAGGUAGUGACGAUAAAUAACGAUGCGGGACUCAAUCGAGGCCCCGUAAUUGGAAUGAGUACACUUUAAAUCCUUUAACGAGGAUCAAUUGGAGGGCAAGUCUGGUGCCAGCAGCCGCGGUAAUUCCAGCUCCAAUAGCGUAUAUUAAAGUUGUUGCAGUUAAAAAGCUCGUAGUUGGAUCUCAGGAUUUGGAUGGAUGGUUCGCUUUCGGGCGCUACUAUCUGUCUGACCUACUCUAGUCGUGGAUGCCUUGGGUGCUCUUAAUUGAGUGCUUUUGGUGCCCGACGCAAUUACUUUGAAAAAAUUAGGGUGCUCAAAGCAGGCGUAUUGCCUGAAUAGUGUUGCAUGGAAUAAUGAAAUAGGAGUUUACUUCUAUUUUGUUGGUUUUCGGAGGUGAACUAAUGAUUAACAGGGACAGACGGGGGCAUUUGUAUGGAGGGGUUAGAGGUGAAAUUCUUGGAUCCUCUCCAGACAAACUACUGCGAAAGCAUUUGCCAGGAAUGUUUUCACUAAUCAAGAACGAAAGUCAGAGGUUCGAAGACGAUCAGAUACCGUCCUAGUUCUGACCAUAAAUGAUGCCAUCUAACAAUCCACGAAGUUUGCUUGUACGAACUCGUGGGCGGUCCCCGGGAAACCAAAGAUUUUGGGUUCCGGGGGAAGUAUGGUUGCAAAGCUGAAACUUAAAGGAAUUGACGGAAGGGCACCACCAGGAGUGGAGCCUGCAGCUUAAUUUGACCCAACACGGGAAACCUCACCCGGCCCGGACACUUUUAGGAUUGACAGAUUGAAGGCUCUUUCUUGAUCAAGUGGUUGGUGGUGCAUGGCCGUUCUUAGUUGGUGGAGCGAUUUGUCUGGUUAAUUCCGAUAACGAACGAGACUCUACUCUGCUAAAUAGAACGUUGAUAUAUAAAAGUCAGUGCUGACUUCUUAGAGAGACUAACGGCGUUUAGCCGUGUGAGAAAGAGCAAUAACAGGUCUGUGAUGCCCUUAGAUGUCCGGGGCCGCACGCGCGCUACACUGACUGCAGCAACUAGUAUGCUCCUGGUUUGAAAAAACUGGGUAACCUGGUUGAAUUGCAGGCGUGACAGGGAUCAGAGUUUGCAAUUAUCCUCUGUGAACGAGGAAUUCCCAUUAAGCGCAAGUCAUUAGCUUGUGCUGAUUACGUCCCUGCCCUUUGUACACACCGCCCGUCGCUACUACCGAUUGAAUGGUUUAGUGAGGUCUUCGGAUUGGUGCUGAUGGAGUGGUUCUCUGCUCUGUUAGUGCCGAGAAGAUGAUCAAACUUGAUCAUUUAGAGGAAGUAAAAGUCGUAACAAGGUU